GACGUAGGGGGCCAGCGUUGCUCGGAAUUACUGGGCGUAAAGGGUUCGUAGGCGGUGUGGCAAGUCGGAAGUGAAAUCUCCAGGCUUAACUUGGAGGCUGCUCCCGAAACUGCCAUGCUAGAGUGCGGGAGAGGCGAGUGGAAUUGCAGGUGUAGCGGUGAAAUGCGUAGAUAUCUGCAGGAACACCCGUGGCGAAGGCGGCUCGCUGGACCGCAACUGACGCUGAGGAACGAAAGCUAGGGGAGCAAAC
rnacentral:rRNA from 1 species